UACGUAGGUGGCAAGCGUUGUCCGGAUUUAUUGGGCGUAAAGAGCGUGUAGGCGGCUUUGCAAGUCCGUUGUGAAAACUCGAGGCUCAACCUCGAGACGCCGGUGGAAACUGCAAAGCUAGAGUCCGGAAGAGGAGAGUGGAAUUCCUGGUGUAGCGGUGAAAUGCGCAGAUAUCAGGAAGAACACCCGUGGCGAAGGCGGCUCUCUGGGACGGUACUGACGCUGAGACGCGAAAGCGUGGGGAGCGAACAGG
rnacentral:rRNA from 1 species